AUUGAACGCUGGCGGAAUGCUUUACACAUGCAAGUCGAACGGUAACAGGCCGCAAGGUGCUGACGAGUGGCGAACGGGUGAGUAAUGCAUCGGAACGUGCCCAGUCGUGGGGGAUAACGCAGCGAAAGCUGCGCUAAUACCGCAUACGAGCUAUGGAUGAAAGCGGGGGACCGUAAGGCCUCGCGCGAUUGGAGCGGCCGAUGUCAGAUUAGGUAGUUGGUGGGGUAAAGGCUCACCAAGCCGACGAUCUGUAGCUGGUCUGAGAGGACGACCAGCCACACUGGGACUGAGACACGGCCCAGACUCCUACGGGAGGCAGCAGUGGGGAAUUUUGGACAAUGGGGGCAACCCUGAUCCAGCAAUGCCGCGUGCAGGAAGAAGGCCUUCGGGUUGUAAACUGCUUUUGUACGGAACGAAACGGCUCUGGUUAAUACCCGGGGCUAAUGACGGUACCGUAAGAAUAAGCACCGGCUAACUACGUGCCAGCCGCCGCCGUAA
rnacentral:rRNA from 1 species